UGUUGUUUUUAAAGUGCUUUGUAAAUAAAGCUGAAUUGAAUUGAAUUUUUCCAUGGAAUAUUUAAAUGGCUAGAGAAUUUUGUCCUUUUAGAUGAAAAAUUAAAAAACAAAACAAAAAAACAACUACAAGUCAUGUAUGACCGCCCAACUUCUCUGCCCAACCCUUAAGUCCAGAGGUCAACCUUAUGUGUAAAACACAGAAAGACAAAAAUGAGUGCUGAAACACAGACAAACAAGAGCCAGCCACGUCUCGGAGGCGGUGGGGAUGAUCUGAUUGGAGGGCAGGAUGAAACCAUAGCGACCAGUGUCCCUCAGCUCGAAGGCGUAGGAGUAUUUGAUGCCCAGGUCGUAAGCCCAGUCAAUGCUGCCGCCACUGGCUUGAUCUGAGGGGAAGAGGAAGUGGGGAGGACGUGACAGCAACAGCCCCAAUAUUGUCAGCAGCAGCUCUACUAAGUGAUGCUGUUCAGGCUGAUCGGGCACCUUGCCACAGGAGUAGCCAUAAGGGUACAUGAGCAGCUGGGAGUAGGCGUGGACGGAGAUGAAGGACUUGAAAUUGCCAUGGCUCCUGAUCAGAUUCACCACGUUCUUCACCUC